UGUAGUAAUUUCAUAAUAACUACACACCCAUGAAGUGCCAGAGAAGACCUCAAGGUUUCAAACCUGCUUAAGUAUGCAGUGAUGCCAAUUAGGAUGAUAACUUAUAUUUAUGUGGCGCCAUGCUGCCCCACCAACCCAAACUAGCAUCAAGGCAUACAAUUAACAGUCACAUAUAAAAAGUGACAAUAUUGGGAACACAGAGGAUCUUUCCAUAAGGGAAUACAGGCAGAGGAAACCUUAAGGGAAUGAAGCUUCAGGGACCAGAGCUGGGCAUGGACAGGCAAUGAUGCUGCAAGAAGCGGGUGCAUUAUCAAGGAGUGGAAAUAAAGAAGACUCAGACAAAGGGGGAAGGAACAACUGAACAGGGCUCUGGCUGCUGCCAAAAUACCAAUGUGAUUGGACAGAAUAAAAACCAUUAUGAAAAAAUCCCAGCAGCCUGGACAUCAUGUACCAGGAAGCUCUCAAGUGCCCAAGGGGAACUCUAGGGAAGAGACGCCACGUGCUUUGGAAAAAGAGCAACGAGUCCUGCCCCAGUGGCUCCUGUCGGAGGUCUGCCCUUGACCUACAUCUGCUCUACCAGUCCUCCCAGGGAGCAGCAAGUGCCUCAGGAUGACUCUAGCCCAUGAAUGACUUGGAGUGUACAUUAUGAAAGCCCAGUCCCCUGGUCUCAGGUGGGG